rnacentral:rRNA from 1 species
AACGAACGCUGGCGGCGUGCUUAACACAUGCAAGUCGAACGCGAAAGGGACUUCGGUCCUGAGUAAAGUGGCGCACGGGUGAGUAACGCGUGGAUAAUCUACCCAAUGGACUGGGAUAACAUCUCGAAAGGGGUGCUAAUACCGGAUAAGACAACGGAGUCUCUGGAUUCUGCGGUAAAAGGUGGGGACCCUCUGGACUACCGUCGAUGGAUGAGGCCGAGUACCAUUAACUAGUUGGUAGGGUAAAGGCCUACCAAGGCUACGAUGGUUAGCUGGUCUGAGAGGAUGAUCAGCCACACUGGAACUGAGAAACGGUCCAGACUCCUACGGGAGGCAGCAGUGGGGAAUUUUGCGCAAUGGGGGAAACCCUGACGCAGCAACGCCGCGUGAGUGAUGAAGGCCUUCGGGUCGUAAAGCUCUGUCAGAGGGAAAGAAGUGUAUUGUGGCUAAUAUCCAUGAUACUUGACGGUACCCUCAAAGGAAGCACCGGCUAACUCCGUGCCAGCAGCCGCAGUAAUAC